rnacentral:sRNA from 1 species
AAAAUACACUCAACCCUUUGAGAUCAUCUUGGGACACCUCACCAUGUUUGAGGAGUACAGAGACGGUGACCCCUUGGUGCAGGGGAAGGAGUAGACAAGCAAGUCACAUUGCAUCUCUGGAAAGCCCACUUGGAGUCUGGGUCAACAUUGCUAAUAUCAAGUGAGAAACAGAUGGUGGUGGUGUGCAAGGAGUCCCCAAAGGAGUAUCUCCAGCCUUUCAAGGACAAACUAGAGGAGUUCUUCCAAAAAGCCAAAAAAGAGCAUAAGAUGGAAGAAAGUCACUUGGAGAAUGCACAGAAAAGUUUUGAAACAACGGUAGGAUAUUUUGGGAUGAAGCCAAAGUCUGGUGAGAAGGAGAUCACACCCAGCUACGUGUUUAUGGUGUGGUACGAGUUCUGCAGUGACUUCAAGACAAUUUGGAAACGGGAGAGUAAAAACAUAUCUAAAGAAAGAUUGAAAAUGGCUCAGGAAUCAGUCAGCAAGUUGACUUCAGAGAAGAAAGUGGAGACAAAGAAAAUCAAUCCCACUGCUAGCCUGAAAGAAAGACUGCGUCAGAAGGAAGCCAGUGU